UGAUGGGACACUCACCACGAGAGAAGGU
rnacentral:sRNA from 1 species